UGUUAACACAGCAACAUGCAAAAGGGAUGAUCUGCUUGGCAGUGCAGGGCUGUUGAUUGCUCACUCCUGAAGUCUCCCUUCACUUUCCAGGCUGACUACUCCUGAUCUCGUUAGAGUUCCAUGACCCGAGGGAUUGAAUCCUAUGUGUCUUCUCACAGAACAGCCAUCAGAACACAGGGGAAGAAAAACAAAGGAAGCAAACAAAAACAGAGAAGAAAAGCCAUGGCAAAGCCAGGUGCCCUUGUGGAGAAGUCCUCUGACAGGAUGAAUCAUGAUCUGGGAGAAUUAAUAGCUGUAGACGGCGUCAGAUUGGAAGGAAGAUUCCAGAGAAGGUGUUACCCUAGACACAUGGAAAGCAUAUUGCAGAGGCAAUGGAAAAGGAGCCCAGAAAACAAUUUGUUUAUUAUAAGCAGGUCAGUCCUCCGGGGAAUUCGUGGAAUCAUGCAGUGGGAGAGGACAAUCACGGCACUGAAAUGGUAAAGGAGAGAGGCAAGGUGGGACGCCUUCUUCAUCCUUAUUCCUCCAGCACUGCCUUAUCUGACAACAGACACUAGAAAAACCUUGCACUGGAAAUUCUGCACCAUGGCCAGCAUUGAUUGUUGAUGUUAUGGCUGUGUCAGCCCUGUGUCUGGGCAUCAAAAGCAGAGUGAAGUUUAUAUAGUAUUCAAUUAUAUAUAUAUGGUUGAUAAAUACUUUGGUUUAUGCAGUUCUCCUCAUGAGAGAGAAAAGCCCUGGUGCAAAAAGUAGUAUAUGCGGCAAAUUUGUGAUUCAGUUAAUGAAGGAACUUCCUUGCUAUUGAUAAACAUGCUUGCUGCUCCACUGCAAAUGUUUAAAUAGAUUGCAUCCAACAGUAAAGGAGAAAACGAAUGGGGAUUUUUCCUAAUGUACUCAAAUCAGCAUAAUAAACUGCUUUCACAUCUUUUAAAGGUUUUUGCUGUACAUAAAUCAUAAGCCUAUAUAAAUAAAACAUGGGAAUAUAUUUUUAAUCAUAAAAGCCUGUAUUUUAACGCCCAACUUGUUAUCUAUUCCUUAUCCUUAUGUAAUAUUUUUGCCUAACAUUAUGUUUUUGUUUUUUUUCCAG
ensembl:lncRNA